rnacentral:rRNA from 1 species
UACGUAGGGGGCUAGCGUUGUCCGGAAUCAUUGGGCGUAAAGAGCGCGUAGGCGGCCAGAUAAGUCCGGUGUGAAAGUCACAGGCUCAACCUGUGAAUGCCGCUGGAAACUGUCUGGCUAGAGUCCGGAAGGGGCGAGUGGAAUUCCUGGUGUAGCGGUGAAAUGCGCAGAUAUCAGGAGGAACACCAAUAGCGAAGGCAGCUCGCUGGGACGUUACUGACACUGAGGCGCGAAAGCGUGGGGAGCGAACAGG